GCAGCUACACAUGCAGUCGAGGGGCAGCGCGAGUAGCAUACUUGGCGGCGACCGGCGCAAGGGUGCGUACGCGUGAGCAACAUGCCCGUAUCAAGAGGAUAAUCCAGAGAACUUGGUCUAAUACCCCAUAGUAAUUGUGUAAAGCAUCUUAUAAGAUUUAAGCUGUGGUGGAUACGGAUUGGCUCGGGUGACAUUAGCUGGAUGGUAAGGUAACGGCUUACCAUGGCUAUGAUGUCUAGGGGUUCUGAGAGGAAGGUCCCCCACACUGGAACUGAGACACGGUCCAGACUCCUACGGGAGGCAGCAGUGAGGAAUAUUGGACAAUGGGAUGGGAAAUCUGAUCCAAGCCAUGCGCGUGAAAGAAAGAGGGU
rnacentral:rRNA from 1 species